rnacentral:lncRNA from 1 species
GAGUUACAUUGAAAUGCAUCGUCGAACGGGUUCUAGUCCAGGGGCGGCUCAACGCUAUCGGAGGCCUAAAGCGAAAUCUUAAUUAGAGGCCAAAAAUCUAAAUAAGCUUCACAUGCAUUUAUUUAAAAUUUAUUUUUCUUACAUUUUGAAAUACAAAGUAUUACUUAAUAUUUUUUUUUAUAUAUAAAUGAUUUAUUCGAUUUCUUUUUCAAUUAUUAGUUUUAAAUAAGAUUUUAUCAAUUCAACGUUGAAAAAUAUUAUUUUACUCGGACAAUCAUUAUAUGAAUUGUUAACAUAGUUCUACAAGUAAUAAGUUGACAAAUUUCAAAUAAAUAUAAGAGUUAGAACCAUAGCUUUGAUGAAGUUGAUAAUUUGGUUACCCCACAUUUUACUAUGGUUGUUGUAAUGCUUGAAAAUCUAAGAAGAAAUGGAAAAAUAAUUUACAAUUCACUUUGUUCAACACUUUUCAACUAUUAAUUGAUACUUUUGAUAGAUUAUUACUCUAACUUAUCAACAAUUUAAAGAAGAGAGUGUAAAAGGAGUUAAAAAGAAUAAAAUAAUGUGAGUAUUAGUGGAGAGAGUGUAAGAAAAUAAAACAAUAUUUUCUAGAUUUCUUCUAUUUAAAUGGGGUUGAAGAGAAUAAUUUUAAAUAUAUACUUUUUAUCAUAAAUAAUUAAUAUUUUUUCUAUACAAAAUUAACACAUAAUUUAUUCUUGGUAAAAAAUUGAGGCCCCCUAAAAUUGGGGGCCUAAGGCCAAUGCCUUAUUUAAGUAUGCAUAGAGCCGGCUCUGGGUUCUACCAACUGCAUUUGAUGUAUGGCUGGCUGCAGUUCUUUGAAAGAUGCUCAACUAAUCAUUUUGUGGGAAAAACAUUUAAAAAAUUGGUAUGCAUCUAUAGAUAUUGUUGCUCAUAGAUAAUGGCAUUACCAUAUUGCCUUGAGAAAUGGUGCUUUCCUAUUGAAAAAUUCCUGAAAAAAGACCAAUAUAUCUGAGGAACUUUUAGAAAUUAGUUUACAUGCUAUAAGUUCUUCAGCAAUGAAGCUUGACAGCUAGCUCUGUACUCAAGAAUUUCUUAGCCAUUUUGUUCUACUUAUUUAAGCCUAAUAUCAAGAAAAAUGAACCAUGAAAUCUAUAAAUUUUUACACAUAGAAAAACCAAAUAAGGUCAACCCGUGAAAUUAGUUACGGUGCAUAAAAGCAAGCUGACACGGACAUCACGAUUAUUUUUAAAACUAUAUAACAAACAAUUACAUCAUUUUUCUUGAUUCCACAGUUGUAUCUAGUCUAGAAUGUAGAUAUGUUCAAGGAGUUGGUAUGACUUUUCAAAACACUAUUGACAUAGUAUGUUCUGUCAUGGAACGCUUUUGAACUUAUUUUUUAAUAAUAAUCUAUAUUAAAAUCAACAAAUAAAUUUGACGAAAAUAAUCUCAAAAACUAAACUUUAGGCAAAGUAACUUGUGUGUGAUAACAUCACAAAUGGAGAUUGACAAAAUUUAUGCAACAACAAUAAUCUCGAGUGAAUGACUUCGCAUAUGCUACUUCAAAUGAGCCGACUUUGAAAGCUCACACCGCAUUCUUCACAAAUAUUCAUUUUUUACCCCUAUUAUCGAAUUUUGAAUCUCAAUUACAAUACAAUGUUUUUAGCUAUUAAUUUUUAAUUGCAUUCUUCAAUUUCUCUUGUUCGAGAACAAGCAAUAAUGAAGACCGAAAGGAAGAAAAUUAAUGUGACAGAACAAUAAUAGUAAGAGAUAGAACAAUAACAGUAGCAGACAUGAAUUUAACCCAUAAAAUUGAAAUUGUGAACGCUACCAGAAUAAGAUUGUGAAAAUAUUGAGAGAAAAAAACUAAUUUGAUUUUGCAGUACCGUAUGAAAAAUCAAAGAGAACAUAGAAGAGAGUGUUGGGUAGAACAAUAACCACAACAACUAUGAAUUUUAAGUUAUGAUAUUGGAAAUUUAAUCUUUUCUAAAAGAAGAUCAGGGCAAAUAUUGAGGCAAAAGCUGACCUAAGAAUGCACGUUCAGAUACGAAGACGAAGCUAAUGAGUAGGCCUUUGAAUUUAAGUUUGGAUGAAAGAAAAUUAUGGACACUUGGGAGGAGUCUUCUAGAAAUUCUCCAUUGUUGGAACAAAGAAAUGAAACGACCGAGUGUUCUAGAAAGGCCAAGAAAAAGCUGAUUCUUUCUUUUGUCUUUGAGCAAAAUGACGAAUUUACCCUUGAUCGUUCUUUUGAUGGCGUUUCUGUUUUGCAAUGAAAGAUUUGUCAAGAAAGUGUAAGAGCAGUGUAUCUUCACUUCUAGCAUUCUAUUUUCAUGAAAGUGCGCAUUAAAUAAUGCAUUCUACAACAUACAAAUACAUAAAUGAUGAGUUAAAUUAACAACAAAACCACAAGAAACAAGGCCACAUCGUGUAAGAAAAUUUUAAUUGAGAUCAGUAAACAAACAUGAUUACAACAAUAACAUGAAAAUCAAAAUAAAACCAAAAUCACCUUAGCAUCCUCAACUGUAGCAACGGUGACAUAGCCGAAUCCACGAGAGCUAGCAAGAUAGAGGACAUGAAAAUUUUCAUCUAAGUUUUAACAGACAACACAAUCAUAAAUAAAAGGUGGGUGAAGGUAACUCUGCAAAUACAACAUUUAUCAAUAGUCAAUACACCAAUAAAAGGGUAAAAAAUUUCAAAUGUAACCCAUCAAAAAAAUAAGGUAAAAUAAUCGAAGCAGACAAAAAAUUGCAGAAGAAAUUAAGAAAAAACAGAAUAGGAAAGAAAUCACAAACACAAUGCUUUGAUGUAGCGAAGGGGAGAGGGAGAAGGACAAAAAAUUUCUGAAGAAGCAAUAGACAACCGAGAAAAAAAAAAUACUUACCCAGUUGCAGUUUCUCCGACAUGUAGUAUUCAAUCAAUUUACAUACUCUUCUACCUUGAUCAAACUAACUAUUUACUAUAGUUGAAGUGCAAAAAGCCUUACCCAAUAAAUAUAAACAAACAUAGAAUUGAAAGAAAAAACAAGAUAGGAGAAAAAUAGAGUUUCAAUUUUAUUUUUAUUUUUUGAUGAAUUCGAUAUUUUCGAAACUACCUAGAGUCUUACUAUCUAACUAAGAAAGUUACAAGAAUUUUGCUUCAUAAAAUCCAGAAAAAUGAAGCAUUCAUCAGUAACUUGUUCAAAUGAUCCUCCAUGAAGGAAUCUCCGGAGAGGGAUUGAAAUCAAUAUUAGGAGAGAAAGGAGACGAUUUUUAUCGGUAAUACUUUCAGAUUAUUUUAGGAAAGUUGCUGGCGGAGAGUGAGAGUGGAAAGAUGAAGAUUCUUCUGGAGGAACAUAUACCAAAAAGUCUUUAGGAUUGUUAAUAUAUUUUUAUAGUUACAAUUUUGCCCUUGUAAGAUCGGUUUAAUAUCUAUUUUGCCAUUGGUC